ACUCUAAGGAGACUGCCGGUGACAAACCGGAGGAAGGUGGGGAUGACGUCAAGUCAUCAUGGCCCUUACGGCCUGGGCUACACACGUGCUACAAUGGUCGGUACAGAGGGUUGCCAAGCCGCGAGGUGGAGCUAAUCCCACAAAACCGAUCGUAGUCCGGAUCGCAGUCUGCAACUCGACUGCGUGAAGUCGGAAUCGCUAGUAAUCGCGGAUCAGAAUGCCGCGGUGAAUACGUUCCCGGGUCUUGUACACACCGCCCGUCACACCAUGGGAG
rnacentral:rRNA from 1 species